rnacentral:sRNA from 1 species
GACUCUCCAGUCCUCAGUCACCUUGGACAAAGAAGUGUGGAUCCUCAGAUUCCAUCUUUUCCAACUCCAAGGUGCCAUGGCAGAGAAGGUGCUGGUAACAGGUGGGGCUGGCUACAUUGGCAGCCACACGGUGCUGGAGCUGCUGGAGGCUGGCUACUUGCCUGUGGUCAUCGAUAACUUCCAUAAUGCCUUCCGUGGAGGGGGCUCCCUGCCUGAGAGCCUGCGGCGGGUCCAGGAGCUGACAGGCCGCUCUGUGGAGUUUGAGGAGAUGGACAUUUUGGACCAGGGAGCCCUACAGCGUCUCUUCAAAAAGGUGGGUGCAGGCUGGGCACGGUGGCUCACGCCUGUAAUUCCAGCACUUUGGAAGGCCGAGGUGAGGAGAUCACUUGAGCCCAGGUGUUCAAGACCAGCCUGCUCAACACGGUGAAACCCCAUCUCUACAGAAAAAUACAAAAAUUAGCUGGGCAUGGUAGCGCAUACCUGUGGUCCCAGCUACUCGGGAGGCUGGCAUGGGAAGAUGGCUUGAGCCUGGGAGGUGGAGGUUGCGGUGAGCUGAGAUGGCACCACUGCACUCCAGCCUGGACAACAGAGUGAGACUGUCAAAAAAAAAAAAAAAGGUGGGUGCAGGCAGGCAGGCCGAGGGCAUUGCCAAGGACAAAAACCAGUAGAGCAACCUCUGGCCAUGUCGCCCCUGCAGCACAGCUUUAUGGCGGUCAUCCACUUUGCGGGGCUCAAGGCCGUGGGCGAGUCGGUGCAGAAGCCUCUGGAUUAUUACAGAGUUAACCUGACCGGGACCAUCCAGCUUCUGGAGAUCAUGAAGGCCCACGGGGUGAAGAACCUGGUGUUCAGCAGCUCAGCCACUGUGUACGGGAACCCCCAGUACCUGCCCCUGGACGAGGCCCACCCCACGGGUGGUUGUACCAACCCUUACGGCAAGUCCAAGUUCUUCAUCGAGGAAAUGAUCCGGGACCUGUGCCAGGCAGACAA